rnacentral:rRNA from 1 species
GAUGAACGCUGGCGGCGUGCCUAAUACAUGCAAGUCGAGCGAACAGACGAGGAGCUUGCUCCUCUGACGUUAGCGGCGGACGGGUGAGUAACACGUGGAUAACCUACCUAUAAGACUGGGAUAACUUCGGGAAACCGGAGCUAAUACUGGAUAAUAUAUUGAACCGCAUGGUUCAAUAGUGAAAGACGGUUUUGCUGUCACUUAUAGAUGGAUCCGCGCCGCAUUAGCUAGUUGGUAAGGUAACGGCUUACCAAGGCAACGAUGCGUAGCCGACCUGAGAGGGUGAUCGGCCACACUGGAACUGAGACACGGUCCAGACUCCUACGGGAGGCAGCAGUAGGGAAUCUUCCGCAAUGGGCGAAAGCCUGACGGAGCAACGCCGCGUGAGUGAUGAAGGUCUUCGGAUCGUAAAGCUCUGUUAUUAGGGAAGAACAAAUGUGUAAGUAACUAUGCACGUCUUGACGGUACCUAAUCAGAAAGCCACGGCUAACUACGUG